CUUAAUUAAAAAAAAAAAUCAUGACUACUGCUUCCCAGCUAAAUGCCUUUAUUCUUUAAUAAUAAUAAUAAUAAUAAUCCAGUAAUCUAAACCCAAUUUAUUCAAAGUCAGCUUUCUCUCCACCCCUUUGUGAGACAGAAAAAUGAGGUCUCAUUGUGAUGUUAACUUAAGGCACCAGUACAUUGGGUUGCAUGCUAAUAUUUAAGCAGGGAAAAAUUUUUAAGUGGCAGAGUAGAUCAUUGUGCUGAUGGGGCAGCUCUUUUUGGUGUGGAAUAAUUUAGGGAGUGGUCAUUAACACUGUUCUUUUCCAAAUGACUGUUUAGUUUUCUUCUGAUUCUAGAAAACCAGGAGAACUUACAGAGUUGUCAAGUGAGUUUUGUGAAGAAUUACUGUGGGAAUUCGGAAAAUACGGAGGAGACAGGUUUUUUAGACCAACAGGGAUCAACUGAACUUGAGUAGUCUGGGUCUGAGAAUACUAAAGUGGAACAAACUGACUGAGACUUACCGUGUUAUCCCAGAAGAUGAGGAAACUGAGGCCCAGAAUGAAGAAUGGAUUGGCCUUUAUCAUGUUCAGUACUUUAGUCAUCAUGGGCAUUCAAUAAAUGCAGUUUGCUGGAGCAAGACUCCUUGGUGAACAUCAGCCACCUCUUCUCAGAAAUUAUUACUGCCUUCAAAGGUGAACUGUACAAGGUAGUUAAGAUUAUACUGAGUUUCAAGAAUUUAAAUUAUGAGAUGAGGUUGAGGGUGUUGGCCUAUUUCUCACUGGAAGUGACUUCCCAGGCGAUCUAUUUAAAAUUUUGAAAUCUGUGAAAAUUCAGUGAACCUGUGGACUAAGCAGCCAGGAAGGCAGCAUAAGGCAAGAGACUGAGUGAGUCAGUUAACAUUUAAUGAACACCUGCUGUGGGUAGAACCUUGUUGAAGAGAUGUUAAUAAAACUGGAGUCUAUUAAAGGUAGAUGGUGAUAAAGCAAUUGAUGAGGAAACGGAAGGGAAUCAAGGAUUAAGAAAAAUACUGGUACCGUUUCAGUAUG
rnacentral:lncRNA from 1 species